rnacentral:rRNA from 1 species
GACGAACGCUGGCGGCGUGCCUAAUACAUGCAAGUAGAACGCACAGUUUAUACCGUAGCUUGCUACACCAUAGACUGUGAGUUGCGAACGGGUGAGUAACGCGUAGGUAACCUGCCUGGUAGCGGGGGAUAACUAUUGGAAACGAUAGCUAAUACCGCAUAAUAUUAAUUAUUGCAUGAUAAUUGAUUGAAAGAUGCAACUGCAUCACUACCAGAUGGACCUGCGUUGUAUUAGCUAGUAGGUGAGGUAACGGCUCACCUAGGCGACGAUACAUAGCCGACCUGAGAGGGUGAUCGGCCACACUGGGACUGAGACACGGCCCAGACUCCUACGGGAGGCAGCAGUAGGGAAUCUUCGGCAAUGGACGAAAGUCUGACCGAGCAACGCCGCGUGAGUGAAGAAGGGUUUCGGAUCGUAAAGCUCUGUUGUAAGAGAAGAACGGGUGUGAGAGUGGAAAGUUCACACUGUGACGGUAUCUUACCAGAAAGGGACGGCUAACUACGUG